GGCACGGGCGGUUCGAGGGCUGUGGAGCCGCGGGUUUCUGAAAGUUCUGGCUGUUGAAGAAGCAGGAUGACCCAAUAGGAGAAACCGCUGCAUAUUUAUGAUACAGACUAUCCUGAUCUGGUUGUAGAUGUAGGAAAAGUAACUCUGGGUGAGAAGAGGAAAAAAAUGGCAGGUGAUCAUAUAAGGACACAAAACAGUGUCCUUAUCCCAGCAGCGUGUGCACUAUUACAUUCUGGAGGUGGUGUGAUAACACUAGAGAUUGAAAAUGAGGAUUACAACUACAAAAAUUAUGGCAUUGGACUGGAUAUAGACACCUCCUUUAGGAACUGUUAUUAAAUCUCCAGAUUUGACAAAAUAUUUUAACUAUAUGCAGCAAAACAGCAAAUUUCUGAUUUUUAUUAAAUCUUGGAGCAGUGAGAAGUUGUCAUCUGCCCCAGCUCUCUUGAAGCCACAUAUUUGCUCCCUAAAUUCUGGAUUGUGUCAAAAAUCUCUCGCCUUUGUUGUUAGCCUGAAACCAGAUGAAGCUUUUGAAUUUCUUGAGGAGAGGAAAGCUAAUUCUAGGCAAAGAUAUGAAGAAGAGACAGGUCCAACAGCCAAGAGAGCCCGAUAGAGCAACACUCAAGCAACAUUGGAACCUAAUGUGCAGGAGAAAAAUGACAUACUUGAAGCUACUGCUAAAUGUUUUGAAAGAGAUGAGCUGCUGCCAUUCACUGAGUCUACGCAUAUUGAACUUAAAGGCUUUGCAACAAAGAAUGUCUUGAAAUAUGUUAAAAGCACUCUUCCAAAUUAUGUAUCUGCAUUUGCAAACACAUAAGGCUAUUUAAUUAUUGUAGUGGAUGAUAAGAGGACAGUGUGGUUGGAUGUCAAGAGGAUGAGAAUGUUGACAGGUUACGAAUGGAAGUAAUUCAUGGCAUCGGGAAUUUGCCUAUCUAUCAUUUCUGCAAAGCAGGGGGAAAAGCGAAAUAUGAAAUCAAAAUCUUGGACAUAUAUGAUGCAUCUAGAAAAAAAUACGGUUAUGUUUGUGCUGUGAAAAUUGAGCUGUUUUGUUGUGUUGUGUUUUCAAGCAACCCUGAUUCAUGGAUUGUGAAGGCCUGGCUUGCCAAGAGACUGAGAGUCACGGGAUGGACAGACAUGAUGGUGGCUGCUGACCCAGAUCUUUCCAAAUUGGCUGCAGACUUCAUGACUCAGCUAAGUGUGUCAGGUGCACCUCCGGUGGCCAAACCAAUCUAUUUAAAGCAAGGCCUCAGCUGUUUGGAAGAUCUGCAAAAGCAUCUUU